AAAUAAGAAGCAAAAAUUGCAUUUAGUUUCGACCUAAAAAUUUGAUUAUUUAAUCCUUAUUUU
rnacentral:tRNA from 1 species